AGUUCGAUUAUGGCUCAGAUUGAACGCUGGCGGAUGCUUUACACAUGCAAGUCGAACGGCAGCACGGACUUCAGUCCUGGUGGCGAGUGGCGAACGGGUGAGUAAUGUAUCGGAACGUGCCUAGUAGCGGGGGAUAACUACGCGAAAGCGUAGCUAAUACCGCAUACGCCCUUCGGGGAAAGCAGGGGACCUUCGGGCCUCGCUGGCUAGAGCGGCCGAUAUCGGAUUAGCUAGUUGGUGGAGGUAACGGCUCGCAAGGCGAUCCGUAGCUGGUUUGAGAGGACGACCGACCACACACUGGGACUGAGACACGGCCCAGACUCCUACGGGAGGCAGCGGUGGGGAAUUUUGGACAAUGGGGAAACCAACCGGUCCAGCCAUCCCGCGUGUGCGAUGAAGGCAGUAACGGGUUAUCAAAGCACGGCGGGAAAGAAACGGCCUGGAUAUGCCCCGUGCAACUGACUGACACCUGCAGAAUGCUUCCCGGCUAACUACGUGCAGCAGCACCGGUAAUACGUAGGGUGCAAGCGUUAAUCGGAAUUACUGGGCGUAAAGCGUGCAUGAGCGGUUCAGAAAGAAGAUGAAAUCCCAGAGCUUAACUUUGGAACUGCAUUUUUUACUUUACCGAGGCUGCAGUAUGUAAUAAGAGGAGGUGGAAUUCCGCGAUGUAGCGGUGAAAUGCGUAGAUAUGCGGAGGAACACCGAUGGCGAAGGCAGCCUCUGGGGAUAACACUGACGCUCAUGCACGAAAGCGUGGGAACUAAACAGAGUUAGAUACCUAGUGAUCCCUUCUCAACGGUAUCAACUAGCUGUUGGGGCCUUCGGGCCUUGGUAGCGCAGCUAACGUGAAGUUGACCGCCUGGGAAGUACGGUCGCAAGAUUAAAACUCAAAGAUUGACGGGGACCUACAAGCGGUGGAUGAUGUGGAUCAUUCGAUGCAACGCGAAAAACCUUACCCCACACUUGACAUAUGCGAGUCCGAAGAGAUUUGGGGUGCUCGCAAAGAAGAACCGGAACACAGGUGCUGCACUGGCUGUCAGUCAGCUCGUGUCGUGAGAUGUUGGGUUAAGUCCCGCAACGAAGCGCAGCCCUUGUCAUUAGUUGCUACGAAAGGGCCUCUAAUGAGACUGCCGGUGACAAACCGGAGGAGAGGAACGAGGAUGACGUCAAGUCCUCCUUGGCCCUUAUGGGUAGGGCUUCACGUGCCGUGGUCGGGACAGAGGGGUCGCCAACCCGCGAGAGGGAGCCAAUCCCGAAACCCGAUCGUAGUCCGGAUCAUGAUCUGCAACUCGACUGCGUGAAGUCGGAAUCGCUAGUAAUCGCGGAUCAGCAUGUCGCGGUGAAUACGUUCCCGGGUCCUGUACACACACCGCCCGUCACACCAUGGGAGUGGGUUUUACCCAGAAGUAGUUAGCCUAACCGUAAGGAGGCGAUUACCACGAUGGGAUUCAUGACUGAGGUGGUGUAACAAAGAAUUGCUGCA
rnacentral:rRNA from 1 species